GGGAUUGAGCAGCGGAAAUACCACCAGCCUCCGCCAAACUCGUGAGGACCGAUGGCAGGGGGACUGGUGCUCCAGAUGUUGCACUAGAGGCGCUGCAAGUGUGAGCAGGUGACAGUAGACCUACAUCAUAGGUUUAGCAGAUGUUCUCAACAUCUCUAUUGAAAUUUCCUUAUCUUCACUUGCAAGAGGAGCCCCAGGGCUUCAUCCCUGUGGCAGCUACAAUGAGCUGAUAAAAGCUUUCGUUCACCAGGGAACUUUGGCAAGGAAACUGGCUCGAUCAGCAAGUCCAUUUCCAUUGUGGAAAAACAACUUGAAACUCAUCUCUACGGAUGGGUAUAAACAAAUCCCAAAGUCACAGACUGGUAGGACUGAUGCUCACUGAAGGCAGAUGAAAGGCCUAACUGUAAGAAGGGGCUCCUUAUAUUACAGUGUGCUUGUCUGGUUUUGAUAUCAGGGUACUCAUUAUAAUUGGAGAGCAUGUAAAGAGCUUCCCAGACAAGAAAAAGCUAAAGGAAUUCAUCACCACCAAACCAG